GGGGGUUGGAGUUGUAGAUUUCAGCUGUCCAACAACUAAUUAGCCUUGAUUAAAAUUAGAAAGUAUUGAAGUAGGGGUUGUUUUGAUAGUAAUUAAUCAUCAUGUCACUUUUAUGACUGGAAAUGUAUGGAUGUUAAAGGCAAAAGGUUGAGUCAAAAAGAUCGUGAAUUAUGUUAAAAUGACCGAAAAAGCCUUGAAAACUAAAAAAUAGAUGACUGUUUCAUACUUUGCCCAGCCAGACUCUUACCGGACAUUAUACAAAUGACCGGAAUAUAUGACCGUUUUGGAAGCCCUGGGUUGGAC
rnacentral:lncRNA from 1 species